CAUUUCUUAGCCUUUUGAUUAAAAACAAACUGAGGCAGUAGCUAUGUGCGAUUAAAGACUUUGAUUUUGGAGCUCAACUCACUGGAAUGAGCUUGAGUUGUUUAUCUUGCUUAUGCUAAGUGUUGCUUCUAUAAUUCUAAGAGUCGAGGCUUUACUGGGGCUUUACUAAUCUGCCAUCAACCUAUGAGUUUGGCUAAAAGAAGCUGAUCCUUUGAUUAUUAAAGCUUGUUACUGAUGUGAGGCUCCUACAGCCAUAAAUCUAUGUUCUUGAGCCUAGCAUGAUGUUCGAAAAAAAAAGCAGAGGGUGUGCUUGUGUUAUUUUGAUUGAGAUUCUUAAGUUGUGGUGCCUCUAUAUGAUGAUAUGUAAAUUUGACUGGGAGAAGGGGUGGAGGUGGAAUACCUCUUGAAGCUGCGGCUGCUUUGAGAAUUCAGCUCUUAAAACCUCAGCUUUCUUCCUCUCAACUUGCUAUGUUGCUGGAAAAAUUUGAAGUGUGUAGGAGAGUGAUCAAAGGUGGUGUGGAGGGGAUUUUAUAGGCAAGAGUGUGUACUCGUGAAGCCUUAAUUGAAGCUGUUGUAUUUUCUUGUUAUUUUCCUGCAGCAAAUCUCCCUUUUCUUUGAUCUUUUGCAGCCACUUUAUCUUAAUGUAGUUUGGUGCCUAGUUUGGGUACUUGGUACUUGGCUAAUGAAUUCCAUUGUUUGAUUGUGGCUGGUAGAAACAGGUGCUGCAUAGUGUGGAGGAUUUGCAGGAUUGACUUUCCCCUCUUGGUGAGUCUUUGGUCCUCCAUAGCAAAAGGAAAGGUGAGAGAGAAAUCUUGGCUACUACCUAGCUGUACCUCGAGCGGGCCUGGGUUCGUUGUCUGGGCCGACGGGCUGCUCGAAACGGGCCCUAAUUUGGGCCUGGAGAAAAGGCCCGAAGUGCACCCAAAAUUUUAUAUUUUCCUUUCCUUGUUUUCUUUCUUUGAGGACUUUGAUCCAUGUAACCUAUUUUAUUAGUUGUUCAUUUUAUUGAACA